rnacentral:rRNA from 1 species
GAUGAACGCUGGCGGCGUGCCUAAUACAUGCAAGUCGAGCGAACAGACGAGGAGCUUGCUCCUCUGACGUUAGCGGCGGACGGGUGAGUAACACGUGGAUAACCUACCUAUAAGACUGGGAUAACUUCGGGAAACCGGAGCUAAUACCGGAUAAUAUAUUGAACCGCAUGGUCCAAUAGUGAAAGACGGUUUUGCUGUCACUUAUAGAUGGAUCCGCGCCGGAUUAGCUAGUUGGUAAGGUAACGGCUUACCAAGGCGACGAUGCGUAGCCGACCUGAGAGGGUGAUCAGCCACACUGGAACUGAGACACGGUCCAGACUCCUACGGGAGGCAGCAGUGGGGAAUCUUCCGCAAUGGGCGAAAGCUUGACGGAGCAACGCCGCGUGAGUGAUGAAGGUCUUCGGAUCGUAAAACUCUGUUAUUAGGGAAGAACAAAUGUGUAAGUAACUAUGCACGUCUUGACGGUACCUAAUCAGAAAGCCACGGCUAACUACGUG